GAUCGGAGCCUGGAGCCGGUGUGUGCUGGGUACCGAGAAGAGACAGCGCCGCCGGCCGUGGGGAGCGGACGCAGCGAUUUGCUCCCCUUCGCGCAGCAACCCCCACACCCAGCACCAGGCCCCCAGAACUCUCCUUCCAGCUGAACUCUCUGAGAACAAGUCAGUUGGGCUGAUCACUGAACUCACAUUUCUGGACCUGAGGAGCCUGUUCCUCUCACACCCUCACCUGGCUGAGCCGCAGUAGUUCUUCAGUGGCAAGCUUUAUGUCCUGACCCAGCUAAAGCUGCCAGUUGAAGAACUGUUGCCCUCUGCCCCUGGCUUCGAGGAGGAGGAGGAGCUGCUUUCCCCAUCAUCUGGAAGGUGACAGAAAUGGGCUGGGAAGGUCCGAACAGCAGGGUUGAUGAUACGUUUUGGGAAAGUUGUAGAGCCUUUGCCCAGAUUGGCCCAGCAAGGAGCGGUUUUAGAUUAGAGACACUGGCUGAAUUGAGGAGUAGAAGGCUCAAACAACCCAAGCCCUGAUCCAUUCUCACCUAGCGGCUACAGGAAGCUGUGUCUG
rnacentral:lncRNA from 1 species